AUACGGAGGGUGCAAGCGUUAUCCGGAUUUAUUGGGUUUAAAGGGUCCGUAGGCGGAUUGGUAAGUCAGUGGUGAAAGCCCGCAGCUCAACUGUGGAACUGCCAUUGAUACUGCUAGUCUUGAGUGUAUUUGAAGUAGCUGGAAUAAGUAGUGUAGCGGUGAAAUGCAUAGAUAUUACUUAGAACACCAAUUGCGAAGGCAGGUUACUAAGAUACAACUGACGCUGAUGGACGAAAGCGUGGGGAGCGAACAGGAUUAGAUACCCUGGUAGUCCACGCCGUAAACGAUGCUUACUCGUUUUUGGGGCGCAAGUUUCAGAGACCAAGCGAAAGUGAUAAGUAAGCCACCUGGGGAGUACGUUCGCAAGAAUGAA
rnacentral:rRNA from 1 species